AACCGUGCGAAGGUAGCGUAAUCACUUGUUCUUUAAUUGUGGACUAGUAUGAAUGGCACCACGAAGGUUAUACUGUCUCCUUUUUCUAAUCAGUGAAACUAAUCUCCCCGUGAAGAAGCGGGGAUAAGAAUAUAAGACGAGAAGACCCUAUGGAGCUUUAAACAAUAUAGCAAUUGCCAUAUAAUCUAAAAUUUUCUGAAUCUUUAAUAUACUAAAGGUGGUAUGACUAUAAGUUUUUGGUUGGGGUGACCGCGGAGCAUAAUAUAACCUCCAUGUUGAAAGAAUUUCUUAAGCCAAGACCCACCCGUCUGAGCAUCAAUUUAUUGACAUUCAUUGACCCAAUAUAUUUGACCAACGAACCAAGUUACCCUAGGGAUAACAGCGCAAUCCACUUCAAGAGCUCCUAUCGACAAGUGGGUUUACGACCUCGAUGUUGGAUCAGGGUACCCCAGUGGUGCAGCCGCUACUAAAGGUUCGUUUGUUCAACGAUUAAAACCCU
rnacentral:rRNA from 1 species